UACGUAGGGACCAAGCGUUGUUCGGAUUUACUGGGCGUAAAGGGCGCGUAGGCGGCGCGGGAAGUCACUUGUGAAAUCUCUGAGCUUAACUCAGAACGGCCAAGUGAUACUGCAGUGCUAGAGUGUGGAAGGGGCAAUCGGAAUUCUUGGUGUAGCGGUGAAAUGCGUAGAUAUCAAGAGGAACACCUGAGGUGAAGACGGGUUGCUGGGCCAACACUGACGCUGAUGCGCGAAAGCCAGGGGAGCAAACGGG
rnacentral:rRNA from 1 species